UACGUAGGGUGCGAGCGUUAAUCGGAAUUACUGGGUUUAAAGGGUGCGUAGGCGGGUUGGUAAGUCCGUGGUGAAAUCCCCAAGCUUAACUUGGGAACUGCCGUGGAUACUAUCAAUCUUGAAUAUCGUGGAGGUAAGCGGAAUAUGUCAUGUAGCGGUGAAAUGCUUAGAUAUGACAUAGAACACCAAUUGCGUAGGCAGCUUACUACACGAUCAUUGACGCUGAGGCACGAAAGCGUGGGGAUCAAACAGG
rnacentral:rRNA from 1 species